rnacentral:rRNA from 1 species
CAGUAGCCGCGGGAACACGGAGGGGGCUAGCGUUGUUCGGAAUUACUGGGCGUAAAGGGCGCGUAGGCGGCCAUUCAAGUUAGAUGUGAAAGCCCUGGGCUCAACCUAGGAAUUGCAUUUGAUACUGUUUGGCUUGAGUUCGGGAGAGGUGAGUGGAAUUCCCAGUGUAGAGGUGAAAUUCGUAGAUAUUGGGAAGAACACCAGUGGCGAAGGCGGCUCACUGGACCGACACUGACGCUGAGGCGCGAAAGCGUGGGGAGCAAACAGGAUUAGAUACCCCAGUAGUCCCUGUCUCUUAUAC